rnacentral:rRNA from 1 species
UGGGUGACCUGCCCUCAGCUCUGGGAUAAGCCCGGGAAACUGGGUCUAAUACCGGAUAUGACCUCUCAUCGCAUGGUGAGGGGUGGAAAGUUUUUCGGCUGGGGAUGGGCCCGCGGCCUAUCAGCUUGUUGGUGGGGUAGUGGCCUACCAAGGCGACGACGGGUAGCCGGCCUGAGAGGGUGACCGGCCACACUGGGACUGAGACACGGCCCAGACUCCUACGGGAG